rnacentral:rRNA from 1 species
UACGUAGGUGACCAGCGUUGUCCGGAUUUACUGGGCGUAAAGAGCGCGCAGGCGGUCGUUCAAGUCGAGUGUGAAAGCCCCCGGCUCAACUGGGGAGGGUCAUUCGAUACUGAUCGACUCGAAGGCAGGAGAGGGAAGCGGAAUUCCCGGUGUAGUGGUGAAAUGCGUAGAUAUCGGGAGGAACACCAGUGGCGAAGGCGGCUUCCUGGCCUGUUCUUGACGCUGAGGCGCGAAAGCUAGGGGAGCAAAACGGG